UAAAGUAAGAGGCCCAAGUAAACAGCGCCACGGCAACGGUAGUGUCACAGAGAGCACCCAAAAUCUUCCACUGCUCCGACCCCCCCCCCACACACACACACACUCUCCCCUCUGCAUAACUUGACAAGUGAGUGCCACGUCAGACAUGUCAGCCAACAGAAACCACAACACCAAUUAUGCUCCGUAUCCCCAGCGCGGGCAGGGCCGCUUGGCUUUCGACAACAUGCCAGAGGACCUGCCGGAGUACGGCGAGGACGGGCUGCACAUGCUGAACAAUGAACACAGCCAGGAGCACUUGGCGGAUGAGGUAGUGGUGGGAGCUAGCGACGCGGACGGCAAAACCAAGGGGUCCAAGAAGCUCGAGUCCCCCUCGCUCACUGAUGAUGGAGAGCCGGCAGCUAAAGGGAACAAGCAGCAGUCGGCCUACAUGGAUAUCGCACAGCAGAUCAUUGAGGCGGACCAGCGCAACCGUGAGGACCGUGUGUGGCGUCGCCGCCACACCACCAACCCUGUCCUGCGCGCGCUGCAGGUGAUCAUGCCGUAUGGUGGCAUCUUUGCCUCAGCCUUCAGCAUCGCCAGCUCCACGAUCGGCGGCGGCAUCAUCGGACUCCCUGCGGCAUUCCAGAUGAGCGGGAUGGGGAUGGCGAUUAUCUUCUUGAUUGUCUUGGUGAUCAUGGCGAUAUACUCCUUUGUGCUGCUCGCCAUUGUGUCGCACAAGACCGGGCUGUACAACUGGGAGAUCAUCGCGCGUCGCCUGAUGGGCCGCGGCUGGGACUACUUCGUCGUCUUCGUCAUGUGGGUGCUCUGCUUUGGAGGUAUUGUCUCGUACAUCAUUGCCCUCAAGAGCAUCCUGACCGGCUUCCUGAAGAACUCGCCAACUGCAUCUGAAUACAUCAAGUCGGAGCCGGGGUACCGCCUCAUUACGUCGAUGCUGUGGAUUGUUGUGAUCCUGCCGAUGUGCCUGCUGAAGGAGAUCAACUCACUGCGCAUCGUCUCCACAGUGGCCAUCCUCUUCGUCGUGUUCUUCACCAUCACCUGCAUCAUUCACUCCUCUCAGAGCCUGCAUGCACGUGGCAUGCGAGACGACCUGGUGUCUUUCCAAACCGGCAACACGGCUAUCAACGGCUUGUCGAGCCUCAUGUUUGCCUUCAUUGCGCAAGUGAACGCGCCGGAGAUAUCUCGUGAGAUGUACAAGUUUUCUGUGCACCGGGUCUUCUUGUCGGCGCUGCUCGGCAUGUCGCUGUGCGCGAUCCUGUACUUCCUGACAGGACUCUUCGGCUACCUCGACUUUGGUCCUGAGGUGAGCGACUCCAUCCUGGCCAUGUACAACCCCCUGAAGAACCAUCUCAUGGCCGUCUCGUACGUUGGCAUGAUGCUCAAAAUUUGCGUAGGCAUCGCUCUGCACCUGAUCCCCUGCCGCGACUGCGUGUACUACAUGAUCGGCACCGAAGUAUCCCAUGUACCAUGGUGGAAGAACGCCAUCUUGUGCUCCCUACAAGCCGCGGCGGCUCUCGUCGCCGGCCUCUUCAUCCCGCGCAUCACAACCGUCUUUGGUCUUCUGGGUGGUUUCUGCGGUGGCUUUGUGGGCUUCAUCUUCCCCUCGCUGUUCAUGAUGUACUCGGGCGGCUUCUCGACCGCCCGCAUUGGGUGGGGCCACUUCCUCGGCACCUACGCACUGCUACUGACGGGUGUGGUUGCCGUGGUGUGGGGCACUAGCGCCGCCAUCCACGGCGCUGUCCUUUCUUCGUGGUAGGCGUGUCGCGUGCGCAUCCGUGCUGAGCAGAGCUGCACAGUAUGCCCUUUAAAAAAGGAAGCACCGCUGAUGAUUCAAUCGCGUUGCAGGAACGGCCUCCGCAUGCGCGAGGAAGCACAUCGACGCACGUCGCCAGCGUAGAACCGGCACCAGCGACAGCCGUACAAGGGCGUUCACAGAUAAACCUAUCAAGCAGGGCCUCUUCUCUCUUUUUUUUCCUGCCUGUGUACGCACCCCUCAGAUCCUUCCUGUCAUGCUUUUUGUCUCCUUUUGUUUUUACGCGCUUCCACGCAGCUGGAGCUCCGUCUCCCUGGCGCAACGCGCUCGCCCUUGCCUCUGCUCGCUCUUCACCGAGGCUCUGACUGGGCACUCGGGGCGGGCGAAAGGUUUAGGGUGGAGGGCACGCACGAAGUGCGCAUCGGGCUCCGUGUUGCUGUGAUGGAAGGCGGCAUGACGACGAGCAACAAUGCCGGUCAUCGCUCGUUUUUCUUUGUUUCGUGUGUGAAGCCGCUCGCGGUAUCGCUUGCCAGCCUCCAUGAGCUGAAGAAAACGCGCCUAAGAGAUAAAGAGAACCGUUUGUUCUGCAGCCCCCUUCCCUCUCCUCCCCUCUCCUCCCCUUUUUUCCCUUCGCUGUCGUGCCUCUCCGGGGGGGGAGACGUAAGGCGCACUUUGCCGCGGUGUGUCACGCGCUUUCCCUUUUCUCCCCCCCCGUUGCCUGAGCGCGUCUCCAUCAUGCGUGUAUCUGUAUCCAUCUAUAUGGCUAUGGAUGCAUAUGUAUAUGUAGGACGUUUCUUAUUUCUCUGCCCACCUUCGCUUUCCUCGCAUUAU
rnacentral:misc_RNA from 1 species